UACGGAGGGUGCAAGCGUUAUCCGGAUUUACUGGGUUUAAAGGGUGCGUAGGCGGGCUUUUAAGUCAGUGGUGAAAACUUCGAGCUUAACUCGAAAACUGCCAUUGAUACUAUUAGUCUUGAAUUUAGCUGAGGUUGGCGGAAUGUGUCGUGUAGCGGUGAAAUGCUUAGAUAUGACACAGAACACCGAUUGCGAAGGCAGCUGGCUAAACUAAAAUUGACGCUGAGGCACGAAAGUGUGGGGAUCAAACAGG
rnacentral:rRNA from 1 species